CAUGACAUAUGCCCAUCAGAAAGGAUCAUAUUACAUCCACUUACUUGGUUCGGUCUACGCCGAAACUGGCUUCAUUAGCGACAUCCUCGCGGUGGCCGAACACAACGGCGGCAGAAACAGCGAUUGGUUGGUCAUUGAUUUUUGUGAGCACUUCGUCACAGGAAAGAUGUUUAAAACCGAAGAUUUACCGCGCAUCGCUAAUUUUCUAUCGAUAUUUCACAAAGAUGGUGGGAUAUAUCAGAUUCUGCAACACCUGGCGAGGACUAUUGUGUGCACUCCUCUCAUG